rnacentral:misc_RNA from 1 species
UAGGCUUGACAUGCUAGUUAAAGCGGGUGAAAGCCCGUGUCCGCAAGGGGCUAGCACAGGUGCUGCAUGGCUGUCGUCAGCUCGUGCCGUGAGGUGUUGGCUUAAGUGCCGCAACGAGCGCAACCCCUGCUUUUAGUUGCCAGCGGGUAAUGCCGGGGACUCGUAGGAGACUGCCGGGGUCAACUCGGAGGAAGGUGGGGAUGACGUUCGAGAGUACGUCC